AGCGACUUUAAAUAAAUUGCCUGUAGUCGCCCCUCCGGGGGUUGGCGACGCCAUCAAUCUGUGUCUGGCAGUGCCUCUUUCGGGGGGUUAUCACCAGCAGCUCGCUGCCCUGCGGCGUCCGAGUUCACAGAUCAAACGAUAGCGGCCACUGCCUGUGGUUGAGAUAUGAUCGGCCUCCAGCUUUCACCGAGCUGGCGAAAACUUGCGGAACCUGCGGAAGGAUCAUUA
rnacentral:rRNA from 1 species